rnacentral:lncRNA from 1 species
CUGUAGUUAAAGUAGCCGUUCUUUUUACAUGAAGUAAUGUGGAUUGGUGUAUUUCUUCCAUUUCAUUUUUCUAGUUUGUUUCUUUUCUAAUGUAUCUCCCAUAACACAUCUAGAUAAUCUAUCCACUUACCUGGAUUUCCAUUCUAUUCAAGCCACUUUUGCUUUUUAAGUACUUUCAUCACUUUGAAAUUACUCCAUUGCACGCUAUUUCAAGAAGGUUUUGUGUAGCUGUAUUGUGUUAGCUACUCUUAAAAUUAUAAAGAAUGCUCCAAAUGUUAUUUUGCUUGUCUGAAACAAGAGGGCGUUAAAGUAAAUCUUUAUAUACAUUCUACUUAGGAAUGAUUGGUUUCCAUUAACCACUUUUCAUUAUAGUAGCUGUAACUGUUAUGAUGCUAUGU